UUUAUUGGUAAUCAAGUUGUGUUACUUUUUAAUGAGUUGAGUUGAGUAUAUGUUUACAAGUAUUGCUCAUGUAUCACAGUUUAUGCAUUUGCAUCCUAUGUCAGGAUAAUGAUUAUAAUAGGAACAGAUUUUGUGAGUAAAAAAAUUGAACAUUUUUCAGUGGUCCUCACUGUUGGUAGUGAGCGAUUGUUGGGAGUACACUUCCUUCAAAGAUUUCCAUGAGAUGAGCAAGUCUUUCGCAGUUGCUGACAAUUUGAAUAAGGUUGUGCACAUAACAUCAUCUCCUAUGUUUCCUAUUUGUAUUAAUCUUAUAAAGAUUGUUAUUGAGAUAUAUUGUAGAGUUCACCAUAUGGGAUGUCAAUAUGUCAUAUAAUUCAAGUAUCAAGGAAUUGGCCGAACAAAUAGCAAAAGAUCCAUCGUUCGAUCAUAUGUAGUUUGAUUGAGUGAUGUAGUUUUAAAUACUGAUUGAAAAACACAUCCCGAGUUCAUUGUCAAAGAG
rnacentral:lncRNA from 1 species